UCAGGUCCCCCAGCAUGAUCUCAACGUAUGGAAAGCUGGACCCUGCCGAGGGCCUCUGUGUACGAGUGGACUGCACUUCCUUCAGCGGGAACUUCACCAUAAGCUCCUAAGGAACCCAGAGGAGAUUUGCAAAGACUGCCAGUCAGCAGCCAAUAAGUUUGACUCACAUGGGUGUCUUUAUUGAGGAAAUUCAGUCCAUUCUGAUUGAUAGCCAGUAAACAAGGGGCCACAAUAGAGCUGUUGCUGCUGCUCUGGAUGUAGAAGAAGGAGGAGCCAAACAUGGGGAAGGCACUGACCAGCCCUAAGGAUGACAAAGCACAGACUAUUACAGAGGAAUUCUGCUGGAAAUACAUUAGUCAAUUAUUGACCACCGCUAUGAGAAACAUGCAGUCUCAUAUUGGCUCUUACCUCUGGUUGUGACCACAAAAAUGGCAUAUUCAUCCAUGGCUUCAAGCCUUUGCAGGGCCAUCUCGUAACACAGCUCCUCAAUGACAUCAAGAGAAAUCUGAACACACAUAUCAGAAGCACAUUACAGUACCCCAACAUGAAAGGUGACGCUCAAUUCCUCCCGGGAGAAGGAACAGCUGCCGCUUGGAGCUUCGGCCAGCCUAAGGGAAGCAGGACCACACUGCUGGUUAUCCACAGAACACUGAACGGUACAGCACUGAGGACUCAGUUAAUCUCAAGAGUGCACUGACCAUCAUGGCCUUCAGCUCCAUACUGUUGGGGAAUACGCUCCGCCCACCGUACUGAAAGGUCUUCCUCAGGUUCUGUUCGCAGGCUUUAGCAAUGCCUGCCAACAUAAUCCAUGUGUCAAUAAAAAGGCCCCUCGAAGCUGAUCUAUGAAAGACUACCAUAUACUUGCAAUUAUAAUUUCAAGUGCAUAUUGAAUCAGUGCUCUAUAUUAACUUGGAGUCUCUCUGCAAAAAGACAAUAAUGAAUAUACCAACCAUACAUACAUAGUGUAUGACCCUUGCAAGGGAUUUUUAUGAUUGCUAGGUAUGUCCAACUGAGUAACCAUAGUUUUUGUUCCUCAGGGUGCCAUUGUCCAUCCUUUAAGACCUUAUAAUUGUGGUGUGUGUACACCUGUUCUGCUGCUAUUGCAUUUCUCAUGUGUUAAACAGAUAGUAAACAGGUCUGGAUCUGAGGGUGACAGUUGAGCCAUAUACCUUGGAAGAGUACUCCUGGGCUCCUGCAGACAUCCUGCAGGUACUUGAACACGAAGGGCUUCAGCACCUCAGAGCAGCGGUAAUAUGCAGUGAGAAUAUACAGCAGCCUCCAGCCCCUCUGGCAGCUGUCUCUGCAAACAAUGGGAAUAUGGAACAAUCAGGGAACCAGAACCUUCCUGGAGCCCCUUAAAGAUCUGACAGUUUGAGUCAGAAAUCUGUACGGGAUGUAUCCCAUCUUACGCUUUUGAGCUGGUGUUGGCGGUAAUCUGCUUAAGGACCUGGCAGUAAGCCUCAUCCUUCAUCAGUCCAUAUUCUCCAAUGAGCUGUGGAAAGGGUAUUGGUAAUCACCAAUGAAAUAAUACAUGACAGCGCAAAAUAAUAGCCUACACAACAUAUUUAUAGGGAAAAGCAGAACAUUUUAUCAUGUUCAUUCAAAGACACACAUUUCAAAAUGCAUUUUCUGGAUCUGCAUUGCCCAUGUCAGAGAAGAGAUUAGCUUUGUACCUUCAGAAAUGUGCAGACGGCAUCUUGCUCUGUCUGGCCUCUGAGAGGAGAGUCUCCCAUGAACCUCAUCACAGCUGUAAUGGAGCAGAGACUGAGAGAUGAGAGCACUGAGAGCACCAUGACAUAUGCAUCAUUGCACUUCUGUAAACACCAAGAUUAGGAAGGACAACUUUGAAAGCAAGCAAGGCUUUAAUUUUGGCUGUGUUUAGAAUACCAAGGGAAAAUUAGCGUCUCUAGGCCAUGAUCCCAAAUAUUGUUAUGGUUUCUUCACAUUGACUAAUUGUACACUGUCAGGUUUAAAUUAAAGUUGAUGCUAAACUUGCAACAUUACGCUGUCCA